rnacentral:rRNA from 1 species
UGCAAGUCGAACGGAAAGGCCCUGCUUUUGUGGGGUGCUCGAGUGGCGAACGGGUGAGUAACACGUGAGUGACCUGCCCUUGACUUUGGGAUAACUUCAGGAAACUGGGGCUAAUACCGGAUAGGAGCUCCUGCUGCAUGGUGGGGGUUGGAAAGUUUCGGCGGUUGGGGAUGGACUCGCGGCUUAUCAGCUUGUUGGUGGGGUAGUGGCUUACCAAGGCUUUGACGGGUAGCCGGCCUGAGAGGGUGACCGGCCACAUUGGGACUGAGAUACGGCCCAGACUCCUACGGGAGGCAGCAGUGGGGAAUAUUGCACAAUGGGCGGAAGCCUGAUGCAGCAACGCCGCGUGCGGGAUGACGGCCUUCGGGUUGUAAACCGCUUUCGCCUGUGACGAAGCGUGAGUGACGGUAAUGGGUAAAGAAGCACCGGCUAACUACGUGCCAGCAGCCGCGGUGAUACGUAGGGUGCGAGCGUUGUCCGGAUUUAUUGGGCGUAAAGGGCUCGUAGGUGGUUGAUCGCGUCGGAAGUGUAAUCUUGGGGCUUAACCCUGAGCGUGCUUUCGAUACGGGUUGACUUGAGGAAGGUAGGGGAGAAUGGAAUUCCUAGUGGAGCGGUGGAAUGCGCAGAUAUCAGGAGGAACACCAGUGGCGAAGGCGGUUCUCUGGGCCUUUCCUGACGCUGAGGA